rnacentral:rRNA from 1 species
GCAGCCGCGGUAAUACGUAGGUGGCAAGCGUUGUCCGGAAUUACUGGGUGUAAAGGGAGCGCAGGCGGGACUGCAAGUUGGAAGUGAAAUACCGCAGCUUAACUGCGGAGCUGCUUCCAAAACUGUAGUUCUUGAGUGGAGUAGAGGUAGGCGGAAUUCCGAGUGUAGCGGUGAAAUGCGUAGAUAUUCGGAGGAACACCAGUGGCGAAGGCGGCCUACUGGGCUCUUACUGACGCUGAGGCUCGAAAGUGUGGGGAGCAAACAGGAUUAGAUACCCC